GAAGGGGUUAACAACACACAGUGUGGUUGCCUAUGGUAACCUGGAAGCAUUUGGGGUUUAGCUGUGCCUGACUAAGACAGAGUUUUUCAUUUAGAUGUUUCUGAAACAAAAUUUGGAGUGAACGGAGUUUUGUUUCAGAAAAAAGGGGGAAGGUACAUGAAAGGAAACAUAAAAACAGAAAAUGUAUUAACCCGACUAACACACACACACACACACACACACACACACACACACACACACACACACACACACGUAAUGAAGAUCAAACACAAUUUUAAGUUGGUAAUACUGUUACCAUCAUCCUGUCUGUUUUAUUGAGUGGGUUGAGAACUGAUACAUAGACGACUGAAUUAGUAUUAUUUUGGGGAACAUGAUAGCAGGGGUGAACAGAAUCCUGCAGCCAGAGUUUAAAUGAGUGAAACUAGAAGAUUUUUGUUUUGUUUUGUUUUGUUUUUUGUUUUGUUUUUGUUUCUGAAGUAUGGGUGUUUUCUCACCUAUAAGAGAGAGAAUAUUCUGUGACAUGUCCUAAGACCGGGCUUCUGUAUUUUUUUAUUUUCUUUUGUUUUUCAGUUUUAUUUGUCAUUUUUCAUUUUAUUUUAAUUUUUUGAACAGUGCACUGAUUUCUGUUUGUGAAUUUCUUUUCUUUAAGCAGAUCUGCACGUCGGGAAUCAAAAGCGCUACACGUCGUCAAGAAAAUUGUUGCAAGUGAGUUUCUCCACAUUAAAAUGGGCUCUGGAGAAAGCCACUUAUUUGGGACAAUUAGAAAAUGAGAGUCCCAGCCUAAAAAGGAUUCAGCGAGGUAAUCCGAUCUAAAGUUCUUCUUUUUCUUUUUAAAUGACGUCAUUUUGCUGAGAGUGGAAACUAAAUGCGACGACAGGUUCCACUAUCAGCAAAGAAAGAAAGAAAGAAUGGAUGAAUGAAUGGAAAUAAAAACAAACUGACUGACUGGUAAAAGCUGACAAGACUUGACCACGACUCAAGGUUAACCUCCACCUAGACAGGACAAAAGGGUGGAUGAAUUUAUGUGUUUCCUUUUACAGGAGCAGAAAGAUGACAGCAACAUCUG
ensembl:lncRNA